ACAACGAAGCACCCAAUUAGCUGUAAUUGGAUAUUGACAGCCUUCGUAUUUUUUUAAAAUUUAUAUUGAAUACAGACACACGAUUAUUUUCCUGUUCAUACCACAGGACUUGAACAUGUUUCCACUGGCAGAAGUUUAAAGAGUCUUUCUUGCCAGUUACCACUUCGUUAGCAGAAAUGAUAUCACUACUGACGACGCUUUUUCUCCUGCUUUCUCCAAAAGUUGCAGGGGACUGCUACGGAGACACAAUAGCCCGACAAAAACGACUUCUCGGUGAGAUACUCGAUAUGAGUCCCGCGAUCCUUUCCUUGGAGAAACUACAUGCGGACUCCGUUCAGCAAACCCUCCACGAGAUGGAAACAUUUCAAAAGUACCAGUUUGCCGAGAUCACCCCUUACGAGUAUAAAAAGUUACUUUUGUCUCGCUACUUGGUAUUUUCAGCAUCUUUCGCCUUGAAUAUCUGCAAUCAGUAUGGAGCCCGGCUCGUGGAAAUCAUGGAAGAAGAUGAGAGAAAAGCGAUCGCCGUCAUGUUGGAUCUUAGUGAUACACCUGUCGACUGCUUAGUCAUCGGUACUCGUUUUGACAAAGGUGACUGGACCUACUGGUACAGUACGAGGCCAGCCUACAGGACCUUGUCAGCGGAGGAGAACCAGCAGAAAGGGAAUUGCAUGAUUUUGGAAAAUCAAAAAAGUUGGAAUAUGACGAGAGUGCCUUGCCUUAGAUCUUACUUCUGCCACUUUAUGUGUGAGAUAACGAUGAAAUAAAUAUCGAUCACAUAAAUCAGCUCAGCACUGUCAAUAUUAUCUCCCCUAAGCUAAAGGGGGAAAAAAACAAGACGAUGAUAUCACCAUUAUCUGAUAUUUUAUUCAAUGGAAGAAAAUUAUUUGUAGUAUUCAAUAUCAAGUUAUUAUAUAAUACUAACAUUCUAUGCUAACCAAGCAAAUCCUUUGUUGUAUUCGAUUCCAGUGUAUCAUUUAACACUAAUAUUCGAAGCUAACCAGGCUGCUUGCAUGAAGUUAAUCCUAUUUAAUUUAAACUUAAGAAAUAUUUCAAAGUUCUAUUUUUAGAUAGAUAAGAAUCACCAACGCUGUGCUAUCCUAGCAAACAUUGGAAUUAUUUCAUUUAAUACAAAAGACGUUAGCAGAACUGAAAAAAAAAUAUCCUUGUAUAAUAUUUAUUCCCUAAGAAAACGUCCGGAUAUUAUGUAACACCAAAAAUAACUUUUUAAAAAAAAAAAAAAACUUCUCACUCGUACCAAAUCGCAACAAAACUCAAUACCUCUUCCUCUCCGGUAGAGUAGCGUACAAGAAAAUUCGAAUUUUACAAAAGACUUUGGCCUAUUUAUUAAUUACCAUUUUCCCAAAUUACAUGUUUCAUCAUGGCAUCGAAAGAAAUGACUGAAAAAAAGUAACGACUUCUAUCGGCGCUUUGAUGAAGUAUUCAGUUUAGUUACCUCAGCACAGUGACAGUACUGCACAUUUGCAUCGGGCAGCCACCAAACACCCUUGGUGUUAAAAAAAAAAAAAGAAAGUCAUUUUAUCCAUUAACAUUUUUUUUUUUGAAAAUCCGUGGUAUAGCCUUUAGGCCAAAGUCGGACCCGCGAAAGUCAAGAAAUUCCUGUUUCUGUUAAUAAUAAUAAUGUAAUUUAGAUCUAUUUAGCUCUGUUAACAAACAUAAUAUAAGCUCGAGACAUAAACACGAGAGUUAAAAUGAUUAACUGAUCUAAAAAUAUUUCGGUAUAUAUUUGUGUUUUCUUCCGUAAUAAACCCCCCUCCCCCUGUAACAGAUUUGUAUACCUUCUCUCCUUCCUUAUCCGUUACGUAAUAAAAAAAAAACUCCCCCUGUAACAGAUUUGUAUACCUUCUCCCUUUGUAUACCUUCUCUCCUUGUAUACCUUCUCCCCUUGUAUACCUUCUCCCCUUGUAUACCUUCCUCCUUGUAUACCUUCUCCCCUUGUAUACCUUCUUGUAUACCUUCUCCCCUUGUAUACCUUUCUCCUUGUAUACCUUCUCCCCUUGUAUACCUUCUUGUAUACCUUCUCCCCUUGUAUACCUUCUUGUAUACCUUCUCUCCUUGUAUACCUUCCUCCUUGUAUACCUUCUCUUCUUCCUUAUCCGUUACGUAAUAUCAGAACGUUGCCUAAGGUUAGGAGUAUUUUAACUCUUUCUCUCCGUAAUUAUUUACCACAUUCUGGUGGAAUCAACGUUGGUAUCGUCAGUCAGGAGAGAAAGAGUUAAUACAAGUCAUUUUUUAUCCUAGCAAACCUGGGACUUUCUAACUAAUCAAUACAGACAUGAAGCUUUCCCACAAAUCAAAACAAGCUUAAAGCUUGUUCUUCUCAUAGCAAACUUAGGACUUUCCAACUUCUCAUAGCAAACUUAUAACUUUCAAACUUCUCAUACCAAACUUAGGACUUUCCAACUUCUCAUAGCAAACUUAAGACUUUCAAACUUCUCAUAGCAAACUUAAGACUUUCAAACUUCUCAUAGCAAACUUAGGACUUUCAAACUUCUCAUACCAAACUUAAGACUUUCAAACUUCUCAUAGCAAACUUAAGACUUUCAAACUUCUCAUAGCAAACUUAGGACUUUCCAACUUCUCAUAGCAAACUUAGGACUUUCCAACUUCUCAUAGCAAACUUAGGACUUUCAAACUUCUCAUAGCAAACUUAGGACUUUCAAACUUCUCAUAGCAAACUUAGGACUUUCAAACUUCUCAUAGCAAACUUAGGACUUUCCAACUUCUCAUAGCAAACUUAGGACUUUCCAACUUCUCAUAGCAAACUUAGGACUUUCAAACUUCUCAUAGCAAACUUAGGACUUUCAAACUUCUCAUAGCAAACUUAGGACUUUCCAACUUCUCAUAGCAAACUUAGGACUUUCAAACUUCUCAUAGCAAACUUAGGACUUUCCAACUUCUCAUAGCAAACUUAGGACUUUCAAACUUCUCAUAGCAAACUUAGGACUUUCCAACUUCUCAUAGCAAACUUAGGACUUUCAAACUUCUCAUAGCAAAUUUAGGACUUUCAAACUUCUCAUAGCAAACUUAGGACUUUCAAACUUCUCAUAGCAAACUUAGGACUUUCCAACUUCUCAUAGCAAACUUAGGACUUUCAAACUUCUCAUAGCAAAUUUAGGACUUUCAAACUUCUCAUAGCAAAUUUAGGACUUUCAAACUUCUCAUAGCAAACUUAGGACUUUCCAACUUCUCAUAGCAAACUUAGGACUUUCAAACUUCUCAUAGCAAACUUAGGACUUUCCAACUUCUCAUAACAAACUUAGGACUUUCCAACUUCUCAUAGCAAACUUAGGACUUUCCAACUUCUCAUAGCAAACUUAGGACUUUCCAACUUCUCAUAGCAAACUUAGGACUUUCCAACUUCUCAUAGCAAACUUAGGACUUUCCAACUUCUCAUAGCAAACUUAGGACUUUCCAACUUCUCAUAGCAAACUUAGGACUUUCCAACUUCUCAUAGCAAACUUAGGACUUUCCAACUUCUCAUAGCAAACUUAGGACUUUCCAACUUCUCAUAGCAAACUUAGGACUUUCCCACUUAGUAUAGCAAACUUGAAGCUUUCCCAUAUAUUAUAACAAACAAAAACGGAAGUUCUCCUCGACUAGCUUCUUUUCAAAGUCAACACAUUUCUUGUCCACACUUUCUUAGUGAAUUUCAAAUAUUUGUAUUAAACAAUAGAUGAGCGCUUGAUUUUUGUUUUCAAAUCCCAGAAUACAUGUAGGCCUAUUUUUGUGUUGCUUUCCAUAUCUGAAAUAAUAAAGGCAAUAAGUUGUUGAAACACGAAA